rnacentral:tRNA from 1 species
GCCUUCGUGGUGUAGUGGUCAGCACACUCGGCGCGUAUUCGAGAGGUCCGUGGUUCGAGUCCCGGAGAGGGCA